ACGCACGACUUAGGGCACAUUGUCUAAAAAUGCGCAAAUAACGAUAAUGGAAGCGGAUCUGAAGAUAGCGCCUCUGACUGAAGCAGAACACGCCGGGUAGCCCCCCCGCCUGCGGGAAACGCAAAGCUUUUGUUACUGAAGAACCUCCUGCGACUCACAGUCCAGAGAAGAAAAAAGGUCUCCUGACUGUGUUUCCCAGGAAGGACGGGAGCCCUCGACAAGUCGGACGGUCGCCUUCACCGUAUGCUGGCCAAAGACGAGAUGUAAUCCCUUUCAUCUAAGUAUGUUAAGCGAUUGUUAUGUCACGGACCAUGUAGUCGAUAAGCCACAAAGGAAAACCAGCGGAGAUUUACAUAACGGCAGCAGCGCGGAGCAGCGAUCUGGUUUCCAUUCAAAUGUAAACCAAAUUGUCCUGGAUAGUCCUCAUAUGUCCUAUAAAAGGAUUGGGUAAAAAACGAGCCCCA
ensembl:lncRNA